GGUGGCCUAAUGGUUAGAGCAUCUGCCUCGGAUGCGGGAAGUUGCAGGUUCGAAUCCUGGCCAAUUCA